CUGGAGUCUGGUGGACAGCUGUUAUCUCCAAAGACAAACAAAGACGCUUUUACUUGAUUCUUUUAUUUCUGUGCCACUGUUUGGUCUGAGACGCUCAUGCUCUCCUGUUUGGUGACAUGUUUUUUUGGAAGCUGUACGUAGCAGCAGAACUGGCUGCAGCAGCUGGUCAAGGUCCACCCACUGUCACUCAAACUGGCUCCACCUCAGCUUCCACACUCCCACUGACGGCCCAGCACCAUUUCACUUUCCCUUCACACUGCAGGACGGACAGACAGACAGAGCUGGGGCCAAAGACAGCUGCAGGACUCGGAAACUGCGGGAAGAGGAUUGAAGUGGACGAAACGCGAAUCAUUCGCCCCUGCAGAACCGUGAGUGAGACGUCGUCAUAAUGGGGUCGAGCUGUACGAAGGGUCAGUGGGACGGAGAGUAUGAACGGUCCAAAAGACCAAAACGUGGACGGAAGACGGAGAAAGAAAGAGAGGAAAUGAAAAAGGACAAGGAAGACUUUAUGUUUCCUUUCACUUAUGAUUUGUGUGAUUUGAACGAUUUCAAUGAAAUGUUGAACUCAGAUGAGAGCUGGGAUUUUGCGUACGUCUGUGAACGUGCUGCUAAAUUGGAGAAAACAGCCAAAAAACUACCCAAAAUUCAACCUGAACCACCGGCCGCCGCCACCCCUCCACCCAGGAUCACAUAUGAAACCCAACAACCAAUAACUGAGACACUGAAUUCAGUUCCACCCAGCGUGGAGAAAUUACUGGCACAGCUAAAAUUCGGCGGACUUAAUUACGACUUGCUCCUUCGUGAGGAGGGAAGCCCGAGAACUGGUCCGCAUCCUCCGCUGCCUGCACAAGGCUCUGAUGCACCUGUGGAGUCAGCCGUUAGUCCACAACAUAGAGCAGAAGAGAAACCGGAGAGGGGAAAAGAAAAGGAGGAGGAAAAACCGAGGUCUGUCGUAGAAAAUCCAGUUUGCCAGGUAGAAAAGGAGAGACGUGUGGAGCCUGUGUGGACCCCCGCAGAGCUCCUGAACCUGGUACAAAGCGCCCCCAACCCCAUCAUAAAACCCAGAGAUUUCCACGCGUGGCUGUGUAACGUUUGCAGUGCGUACGAACUGCGUCCCGCUGACGUCCACAAGCUGCUGGAGUUCGUUUACAACCGUGAGUGGAAAAAUGUUGAGCAGAACUUUAACAUCCCUGGAGCAGACGGUAACGCCGACUGGCGAGGCGCUGAUGCGAUGGCGACGUGGCUCGACAACGCCUGUUGGGACUCUAUUAGUAAAUGCGUGUGGCAAAAAGCCAAUUUUUCUGCCGUACAGUGCUGCCAUCAGAAAAAUCAAGAGCCGGUAACGGAUUUCCUUGAGCGUUUCCAGCAGGUGUGGGAGUCCACUCUGGGCGUCGAUAUUGACAGCGUUGGUCUAACAAUGAUGAUAAACCUCUUACAACCUCACGUGGUGGCUGUUUUCAAAGAACGCUGUAUUCUGUGGUCGACAGUUAAUUUUACAAAGGCCAAACAUUGGUUAUCAAGCAUGGAGAGGCUCGGAGGGUUCGAGCCAAAGCGCAAAGGUCGAUGCCCGGCGAAGCAGCUAGGGGAUUCUGGACCAGAGCGGCUGCAGCUGGAAGCGCCGCCUCGGUUCAGGCAGCUGCGCAGAGAUAAGAGAAGCGAUCGGUGCUUUAACUGCGGCACAUUCGGACACUGGGCCAGAGAGUGUCGAGCUAAACGUCAACGAUACUCUCGAACACAUCCGGACGCUUGGACAUGGACGCACACGUAUACAGAGGCUAAAACCGCCGCUGCUGUGCCCUUCCAGAUUGGUUAUUAUUAAAUCGCUGAGUUUUAAAAAUGUGCCUUUUGUAAUUAGCAUUUGAUUUAUAUUAAAACCUUUGUUGCAUGUUGUCUUUAAAUUUAUCUAAAUUUAAAUUUGAUUAACAAAAUGAGAUUGAAGAGAAAUUAUACUAAAUAUGUUCAGCAAAAAACUGCGAAGGAAUUAUUAUUAGGGAUGCACGAUAAUUAUCAGGACAGAUCAUUUCUGAAUUAAAAUCGGGAUUAUUAAAUUAUAGAUGAUAAAUUAUCUGUUUUAACCAACCAUGAACCACAACAAUCCCCAGUGUGGAUUCAGUCUGUCACCUUUGUUGCAUCAAAUCUCUUUCUCUCUCUCUACUGAAAGACAUAAUUCACUGGUUGAGAAAAACAAUGCAAACAACCAGAUGUUCUAUGUUUACACUCUAUAAACAAAUGACAAAAAACAUUUGUUUGCAUCAAUCUUUUUGAGUUUUGACAACUUCUAAUGAAAUUAUGUUAUGUAUUUUUAUUUUUUUUAAUUACCACUUAAAUAAUAAUUUGAUUGCAUAAUAUUGUUUUUUUUGUUGUUGUUUAUUAGGCUACACUGUGGAAGCUGUUAAGUUAAUUUAACUCAAAAAAAAAAAGUUUAGUAAAACAAAGUACAGAAACAUUAUUGAUCAGUAAUUUUAACUGACACUGACUAAAACUUUGUAUAUUUUAUUUUGUAUUGUGAAAACAAAAUAACUAAAAACUACUUAAACAGGAAUGUUUCUGUAACUUACAAAACUAUGUUUGUGUAACUUAAAAUUAAGAAUCUUUUUUAACCUAAAUUAAGUUUGUGUUAUGUUAACAUUUUAAAUGUUCAAUUUUAAUACUUUUUUUGAGUUUAAAUUACUUAUCACAUCACAGUGUACUCAUAAAAAUGUAAUUGUUCCAACUUAAAAGGUUUAUGUAAAUAAAUUAACUAGUAUGUUUAUCUUGGAACUUUAAUUAAGUGGUGGUAAUAGGUCCACUGAAUUACAUUGGAGAUUGUGCUUCAUGCCAUCAGACACUCACCUACCAGAACUACCAGGCUGAGUCUACAUAUGAUUCUAACCUGAAGACGUCUGUCAGUGCAAGCUGAAACCCUACAGAACUGUUACGGCUCAGAAAGACUCUAAAAAACGUUCUGAUAAAGUUUUACUUCAGGUUUUCGUUUGCCUGCCAGAUCCUGGAGGAGAAAAGGAGACUUUGUGUUUGGUCUCUUGUGUCUGUGUCUCUUUAUCUCCUUGAUCGUGAGGUCCCUACAACUGCUGUUAACCACGAGAACCCCUUCUAAAGGUGGAUCCAUCCAGGCUGGAUCAAUAGGUACAGCAGAGAAUGGAAACAAGUAAAGGAGGAAACAAGGAAACGAGUGCACAGACGGGGCCGAAAAUCAGCCGGAGGAAUGUCCCCACUCAGCCAUGUUCCUCCUCCAUGGCACAGUGCCGAUGUGCCCUCAUCCACAAUAGGGAGCGAGUCCUCUUCUGGCGGAGUCCGCCAUGUUGAAGCACCAUGUUUCUACAUUAAAAUGAUAAACAGAUUAAGGACGCCGUACGGCAGCCAUCGUGCAGAGAGGUGAAAUAGGCGCUGGCCACCAGAGCGUGGGCGGUUCAUCACCAGUAGGCGAGAGACGGGUGUGACCACACGUCUCUCAAACUCACGAAGAGGUGACACACUGCGAGCUGAGGUCACGCUGCUGACACGAUGACGCCCCCUCCCUUCAGACGACCAGGACGCAGCCUGAUACCUCUCCUCCUCCUCCUCCUCUUCCUCUUCCUCUCAUCAUUGUAGAAAUAUCCUGUGUUUUUUUUUCAUUUAUAUUUUAGCUUGCUCAGCACAUUUAGCACACAAACAGUGUUUUUUUUAGCAUUGAUGGUUAUUGAGAUGUUUUGGUUAUUCAUCAGCAGUUAUUAGAUCUCCUGCUGCCGGUCUUAAAGCUGCUGUAGGUCAAUCUUUCUCUGUAUCCCGACAGAAGAACAUGAGACAGAUAAUCUCACUGGGAAAAUGGAGUUUGGUAUUUCACAUUUAUGUUAAUGUUCAUUUAAAGAUUCCCAUCAGCUCUGAUGUUGUUUGGUGUUUGAAUGUUUUUAUAUUGUUCAUAAAGAUUUAAGAAGAAGAACCUCUGGCUUCCCUCUUUUUUUAUUUUUGUUAUUCAGGCAUAAAAAAAUACUGUUGUAUAUUGAGUAGCGAUGAUGUGAAGAUGUAUUGAAGAGAAGUCGCUGACACUGUCUUGAUUGUAUAUAAAGGUUUAUUAGUCCAGCAUAGGCAUAGGCUUUUAUAGGGAAGGAACAUCUGAUUCUUGUGGUGGAAGUUUGACCGAAUAAAGGAAAAACCAACAAAGAGAAA